GCCCCAGUAGCUUAAUGAAAGCGUCGGUUUUGUAAGCCAAAGAGUGGGAGUUUAAUCCUCCCCUGUGACA
rnacentral:tRNA from 1 species